rnacentral:rRNA from 1 species
AUUGAACGCUGGCGGCAGGCCUAACACAUGCAAGUCGAGCGAGCGGCGGACGGGUGAGUAAUGUCUGGGAAACUGCCUGAUGGAGGGGGAUAACUACUGGAAACGGUAGCUAAUACCGCAUACCAUCAGAUGUGCCCAGAUGGGAUUAGCUAGUAGGUGGGGUAACGGCCCACCUGGGCGACGCUCCCUCGCUGGUCUGAGAGGAUGACCAGCCACACUCGAACUGAGACACGGGCCAGACUCCUACGGUAGGCAGCAGGUGGGAAUAGUUCACAAUGGGCGCAAGCCGGAUGCAGCCAUGCCGCGUGUGUGAAGAAGGCCUUCGGGUUGGAAAGCACUUUCAGCGGGGAGGCGUUACCCGCAGAAGAAGCACCGGCUAACUCCGUGCCAGCAGCCGCGGUAAUUC